rnacentral:rRNA from 1 species
GACGAACGCUGGCGGCGUGCCUAAUACAUGCAAGUAGAACGCUGAAGGAGGAGCUUGCUUCUCUGGAUGAGUUGCGAACGGGUGAGUAACGCGUAGGUAACCCGCCUGGUAGCGGGGGAUAACUCUUGGAAACGAUAGCUAAUACCGCAUAAGAGUAGAUGUUGCAUGACAUUUACUUAAAAGGUGCAAUUGCAUCACUACCAGAUGGACCUGCGUUGUAUUAGCUAGUUGGUGAGGUAACGGCUCACCAAGGCAACGAUACAUAGCCGACCUGAGAGGGGGAUCGGCCAAAAUGGGACUGGGACACGGCCCAGACUCCUACGGGAGGCAGCAGUAGGGAAUCUUCGGCAAUGGACGGAAGGCUGACCGGGCAACGCCGCGUGAGGGAAGAAGGUUUUCGGAUCGUAAAGCUCUGUUGUAAGAGAAGAACGAGUGUGAGAGUGGAAAGUUCACACUGUGACGGUAUCUAAUCAGAAAGGGACGGCUAACUACGUG